UACGAAGGGGGCUAGCGUUGCUCGGAAUCACUGGGCGUAAAGCGCACGUAGGCGGAUCGUUAAGUCAGGGGUGAAAUCCUGGAGCUCAACUCCAGAACUGCCUUUGAUACUGGCGACCUUGAGUUCGGGAGAGGUGAGUGGAACUGCGAGUGUAGAGGUGAAAUUCGUAGAUAUUCGCAAGAACACCAGUGGCGAAGGCGGCUCACUGGCCCGAUACUGACGCUGAGGUGCGAAAGCGUGGAGAGCAAACAGG
rnacentral:rRNA from 1 species